rfam:Bacillus sp. B-jedd genome assembly, contig: CONTIG000001
AGAUGAGGUAGAGGUCGCGGUUUUUAUGAGUAAUCCGGAAGAGGGGCAGGGACCCCGCCGAUGCCGGAUGAAAGGAUCAGCCGCCGAAGCGCCGCAUGUCUCUGUUUGCGGCAGCUGGGACUGUAUCCGAACAGGUGCAGGACUGUCAUGGGAGAGCCAUGAUGAACUAUCCGUUUU